CCGCGCUGGGCCUCGACCCGCUGCUCCGCGGACGGCUGCAAUGCGGCUCUGAGCUCCCGCGGCUGCACCGGCUCCGCGCGGGGAGUGCUGGGCGCACGCCUCAAUAGAAGAAAAAGAGCCAGAAGUUGUGUGAGACCAAGUUGGGUAAAGGAAGUAGCUGGCCAUCUAUUCAUGCAUUCAUGGAGGGAUGAAGAGUUUGGACGCUGGACCCAAAUGCCUGGGUUCAUAUGCCAGCUCUGUCAGUUUUUAAUGGGCAUCAUCCUCAGAUUCAAAGACCAGAUGUGCUUUCUUAUCAUCCAAGAUGAGCUGUUAUUAAUGGAAGAGAAGAAAAUCAGCAAUGUGGAUUUUUUUUUUUUUUUUUUUUUUGCGGUACGCGGGCCUCUCACUGUUGUGGCCUCUCCCGUUGCGGAGCACAGGCUCCGGACGCGCAGGCUCAGCGGCCAUGGCUCACGGGCCCAGCUGCUACGCGGCAUGUGGGAACCUCCCGAACCGGGGCACGAACCCGCGUCCCCUGCAUCGGCAGGCGGACUCUCAGCCGCAGCGCCACCAGGGAAGCCCAGCAAUGUGGAUUUUUAAAUAGAACUUGGAGGGAACAGAAAAUAAUGCCACUCUGUAUUCAGAAAUCCCAAACGUAGUGCCAUGCUGACCUGGAGGAACAACCAACUUCGUGGCAUCGAACCCCUUCAGUUAACAGGACGGCCCCGGGAUUACUCACCUGCUGUCCCCAACUCUCUUCCACUCAGUCCCUCCACAACGUGGCUCUUGUCUCCCAAGUGUGAGGAGUAAUAAAGUGUGUGAGGUUAAUAAAGAGGCGAAA